rnacentral:rRNA from 1 species
CAAGGUUUCCGUAGGUGAACCUGCGGAANGGAUCAUUA